UCAAGUUGUGCCUGGUGAUUUUUUGGAUUUGCCUAUUGAUCUUUGAUAUGUAUGCUAUAUAUGUAUGUUUUACCAUUUUUUACAUGAAAUCUUGAUGCCUUAGCCAAAAUUCAUGAAAUUUUAUAGGCUUGUUCUUGACUCAUUGCUGGUGAUUUUGAUGUGUAGUUUGUGAAUUUUGGAUUUAUGGUUUACAAGUUAUGAUGUGUGCAAGUUGAGUGUGACAAUGUGUGUCACACUAUGUUAGGUCAACUUCAUGAUUUU
rnacentral:lncRNA from 1 species